GGGGUAGUAAAGGUUUCGACAGGGGUUUCGAAGAUGGUGAAGCUAUCCGCAGGUGAUGCGUUAAAUCACAACCUUAAAUUAAACGCAGACGAAAAUUUAGCGUUAGCUGCCUAAUUGCAGCUUGUCAGCCUUAGAGCACUCACACUUUAAGAAUCUGGCAUCGACUUUGUGAGAAACUUUAUCGGCAAAGCUUUGAGCCGGUAGAUGUAUUAUGAAGCUACUGAACCCACCAGGGUGUUAGUUCCCGGGCGGCAGAGGGAAUGUUAAAGAACUGACUAUGAUAGUAGAAGAACAUGGGAGAGGCUUUUGGACACGGGUUCGAUUCCCGUCUACUCCAUAA
rfam:Lactonifactor longoviformis DSM 17459 genome assembly, contig: EJ64DRAFT_scaffold00017.17